UUUUUUUUUUUUCUUUUUGUCGUUCUUUUGCGAGGAAACAACAAGAAAGAAAGAGAAAA
rnacentral:ribozyme from 13 species